rnacentral:lncRNA from 1 species
GGGUCUGGUCUUGUUGCAUUUGAGAAGGAUGAACUCAUACAGUAAUUCCAAUACACCGUAAAGCCCAAUGUUUUCCCUCCUGGUUGUGCGUCUCCCGAUCUCCUCUGUGUCCACCUACACCAUCAGUCUCUGGCUUACACCAUUAGUCCACUGCUCAUCCUCCUGUAAUAUCAAAGAUUUUACCUGUUACCAUAUUCUCUGUCCUCAUUAUUAUCCAAUAAUACACUGCCAUUCAUAUUCAGUUCUGGCCUCAGUUCUGAACAUAUAUAUCUACUCAGUUCAGUUCUGGUCCCCCUCCUUGUGACAGUAUUAAAGCUUCUCAAAAAUAUGC